rnacentral:rRNA from 1 species
GACGAACGCUGGCGGCGUGCUUAACACAUGCAAGUCGAACGGAAAGGCCCUGCUUGCAGGGUACUCGAGUGGCGAACGGGUGAGUAACACGUGGGUGAUCUGCCCUGCACUUCGGGAUAAGCCUGGGAAACUGGGUCUAAUACCGGAUAGGAGCCAUUUUUAGUGUGAUGGUUGGAAAGUUUUUUCGGUGUAGGAUGAGCUCGCGGCCUAUCAGCUUGUUGGUGGGGUAAUGGCCUACCAAGGCGGCGACGGGUAGCCGGCCUGAGAGGGUGGACGGCCAGAUGGGGAAAGAGAUAGGCCCGAGACCCAGCGGGGGGGAAGAGGGGGGAAAUAUGGAAAAGGGGGCAAAGGCGGGAGGCGGCGCGGCGGGGGGGGGGAGGACGGCCUGCGGUUUGUAAACUCUUUGCGCAGGGGAAGAAGUUUUUGGGAGGGUACAAAAAAAAGAGAAACGGACAAAAUAGGGC